rnacentral:rRNA from 1 species
CCUACGGGAGGCAGCAGUCAGGAAUAUUGGUCAAUGGGCUUACGCCUGAACCAGCCAAGCCGCGUGAGGGAAGACUGCCCUACGGGUUGUAAACUUCUUUUAUAAAGGAAUAAAGUGAGGCACGUGUGCCUUUUUGUAUGUACUUUAUGAAUAAGGAUCGGCUAACUCCGUGCCAGCAGCCGCGGUAAUACGGAGGAUCCGAGAGUUAUCCGGAUUUAUUGGGUUUAAAGGGAGCGUAGAUGGGUUGUUAAGUCAGUUGUGAAAGUGGGGGGCUCAACCGUAAAAUUGCAAUUGAUACUGGCAGUCUUGAGUAAAGUUGAGGUAGGCGGAAUUCGUGGUGUAGCGGUGAAAUGCUUAGAUAUCGCGAAGAACUCCGAUUGCGAAGGCAGGUUACUAAACUUCCACUGACAUUGAUGCACGAAGGUGUGGGUAUCGAACAGGAUUAGAUACCCGUGUAGUC